rnacentral:misc_RNA from 1 species
UUUCCGUAGGUGAACCUGCGGAAGGAUCAUUACUGAGUGAGGGCCCUCUGGUCCAACCUCCCACCCGUGUUUAUUAUACCUUGUUGCUUCGGUGAGCCCGCCUCACGGCCGCCGGGGGGCAUCUGCCCCCGGGCCCGCGCCCACCGAAGACACCUAGAACUCUGUAUGAAGAUUGCAGUCUGAGCAAAAACUAAAUAAGUUAAAACUUUCAACAACGGAUCUCUUGGUUCCG